AUGAACGCUGGCGGCGUGCCUAAUACAUGCACGUCGAGCGAACGGACGAGAAGCUUGCUUCUCUGAUGUUAGCGGCGGACGGGUGAGUAACACGUGGAUAACCUACCUAUAAGACUGGGAUAACUUCGGGAAACCGGAGCUAAUACCGGAUAAUAUUUUGAACCGCAUGGUUCAAAAGUGAAAGACGGACUUGCUGUCACUUAUAGAUGGAUCCGCGCUGCAUUAGCUAGUUGGUAAGGUAACGGCUUACCAAGGCAACGAUGCAUAGCCGACCUGAGAGGGUGAUCGGCCUCACUGGAACUGAGACACGGUCCAGACUCCUACGGGAGGCAGCAGUAGGGAAUCUUCCGCAAUGGGCGAAAGCCUGACGGAGCAACGCCGCGUGAGUGAUGAAGGUCUUCGGAUCGUAAAACUCUGUUAUUAGGGAAGAACAUAUGUGUAAGUAACUGUGCACAUCUUGACGGUACCUAAUCAGAAAGCCACGGCUAACUACGUG
rnacentral:rRNA from 1 species